UGAGCUUCCUGAGGCUGAUGGCUUUUUGUUUGGUUUUCCCACAAGAUUUGGAUCUAUGGCCGCUCAAUUUAAAGCAUUUUUUGAUGCAACUGGAGGCCUUUGGCGUACACAGGCACUAGCAGGAAAGGCCGCAGGGUUCUUCUAUAGCACUAGUUCUCAAGGAGGAGGCCAAGAAACUACCCCGUGAGUCACUGAAUUCUUCAUUAAUGUUUAUUUUGUAUCCACUCAACAUGGCAUCUAAAACUAACCUUAGCCAGUGUUUGUUUUUGAUUAAACAGGUUGACAUCUAUUACUCAGCUUGUUCACCAUGGAUUGAUCUUUGUCCCCAUUGGAUACACAUUUGGCGGUGGCAUGUUUGAGUUGGAGAAGGUGAAAGGUGGCUCCCCAUAUGGUGCAGGAACUUAUGCUGGAGAUGGCUCAAGGCAGCCUAGUGAAUUGGAAUUGGCUCAAGCUUUCCAUCAGGGAAAGUACUUUGCGGGCAUUGCAAAGAAGCUCAAGGGAUCUCAAUGAUUUUUAUCCUCCAUAUAUCUCCCACACCAUAUUCUGUGUCAAAUAAAAUGAGAUGUUAGAAGCAAAAAUAAAAUAAAAGUGUGAGAGAAUAAAGUAAUACUUCAUAUAUCUUCGAUACAAUUGUUGUCACCACUUGUCAUCGUCGUAUCCUGUAAUGCAGUUUUUAUUGUCAAUAACAAGAAUUUGGUAAUUAAUACUGGAAACUCGGUGCUAAUAAAAUUGAUCACUAUCAGCCAUCUAACUAAUGUGUGCUUUGUGUUAAAUUGAUCACUAUCAGGUCAAGGAUUUGAAUUUAUAGAUAGGUACUGUUUAGUAUUUUUGUAUAUUAUAUAGUUAAAGAGGAGAAUGCGUACAGGAUAUAAGGGGUACCAUCCCUUACAAGUUUGUUGCUGCAUAAAAACAUGUAUGCCUCUACAACAGAAUCUGCUAUCGCAAAAUAAAACACUAAACUAUAUAUAUUCCCGUACCAGUUAAUUCCCACCUAUCUAUGUACCCAACACAUCAAUAGUAUAGCAUGUGUUUUACAAAAAAUCUCCCCAUCAACCUAGCAUUAACAAAAUCUCCUCCACGGUUUUGUUUCUGUCAAGACUACCUCCUCUAAAAAUACAUGCACCUAGCUUGUGUUGUUUGCUUUGAUCCCCCAAUAAGACUAUGUUGCUAGAAAUGAGCUUGUGGAUUUUCUGGUAGCACUGUCGUGAGUUGCAGCCAGGAAUAACAAUCAAACCACAUUUGUGUCACCUUAGAGCAAGAAAAGAACAUGAGCCACUGUUUAGGCUUCUUCUUGUUGACAAAUAAGGACACAACCAACUAUUGCUAUGCAACUGAAUGUUUCUUUUCUUGAGAUUAUAGUUGGCAACCUUUCUAUACAUUACAUAGUUUCCAUAUGAAGAUGACAAUGUUUUGAAGAAUAAACAAUUUCCACAUUACCGAAAAAAUGUGAUAGCUUUGAUGAGUAUCCAGAUGUAAGCUGUAUAAAGCCUUAUAUGCUCAGUUAACCGAGUAUUCUUCAGAGCUUUCUAUUUGUCUUCCCUAUCUAACUUUGGCUAGACAUUCCUCAGCAUAUUAUUCAUAUUUUCAACCAAAUCUUCUUCCCACUGAAAUCUCGUCCUCCUCCACUUAAAUUCCCAAAUCCAAUCCUCACCAACCCAUUUUUUCCCACUUUUCCAACUACCUCAUUCUGCUGUUCUGAUAUCAUGUUUUGCAAAGCUCUCUUCAUGUAACCAAUUGUCUUGCCAAAAUCUUAUAUGACUUUCCACACCUAAAUCUCAUGUUACCAUUUAAUGGCUCUCUUACUUUUAUAUUUUUUCAUAAAUUUUAAUCAACAGUAAAAUGUGUAUUAGAGUUUAGAGAUCAAGUGUGCUGCUAGCAUUCCUUAUAUUCUUAUACCCAAUCCCAUUAUUUAACGAUGAAAAACACAACUAUCAACUAAUAAAAUUGUUGUAUGUACAAGGACUUUUUCCAAAGAACGUAAAAUGUUUUGAAUAAUUAAUUUUAUAAAUAAAUUUUUUAUUUAUGCAUUAAUUUUUAUUUCAUAGUAGUAACAAACUAUUAUUUUAAUGGUGAUAAAAAUUCUAUUUAACCACGUUUUAAGUUUUUAUAUUUUUUAAAUAAUUAAUACCUAUAUACAUUACAUGGGAUGAUGGGAUGAGAUAUAAAUAUAUUAUUUUAAAAUUUAAUUAUAUUUUAUAGCAUAUUAUUUUUUCUAUAUGUUAAGAAUAAAGAAGAAGAAAACCCAACAUUAGAGGAUAGCUAGGACACUAGUUCAAGAGCAAAAGACAGAUUUUUUUAUCCACAAAGUAUGUUAUAAUGGUGCAAUAGUAUAAGAAAUUAUAAAUCAUUGUGAAACUAAUGGAGAACAUGGACGUGAUUUUAGCUACUAACCGUUUGUAUGACGUAAGUUUGAGGAUUGACCAUUUGACCCACCAAUUAUGCAUCAGCCACCAUCGUCUUGGACAGUUGGACUAAUCAAAAGUGAAACUCAAUAAAAAAAAUGAUAAUAGUAAUAAUUGACAAAAGACAAUAAUGAUUAAAUAAAUAAGUUACUACAUAAUUAUUUUCUUAAAAGAAAUUAUUGCAUAAUUACAAAGUAGAAAAAUUCCUACGUAUGUUCUUGAUGAAACAUUUUUUCUCUUUUUUGUCCUGUUCUUUUAUUUUUGAUAAUUUCUGUAUGAAAAAUCCUUAAAAGCAUAUUUUUUAACAGAAUUCAUUAAGAUUGGCCAAGAAAGGCUCAAAGAUGAAAACAACUAUCCAAAAGUGUGGCGGCCCAGCAGUACACAACAAAAAAUCUGUGAUAGCAAAUGUAAUUUUGGGAACAAUACGACUAAUUAAAUGGCUCUCUUAUAAUAAUAAUAAAGUUAUCACAUAAUUGAGGGAGACAAGGCCGGCCUAGGCAUAAGGCUUCUUAACCAUUAGGCGGUCUAAAUUUUUAUUUUAACCCUCUCAACAAAAAACAUGAAUAGUUAUUGAAAAUCCAAACAUGACAUUAAGGAGUGUCAAAGUUUGCAACGGAAGUACCAAGUGCAUGUAACAACCCCAACUAAAUCACUAUAAAAAUAUUAUCAUUAACUUUAAAAAAAUCUCACCACUUUUUAAAUCUAAAAAAAUGGUGAAAGGUGACACUAUAAGUAUAGGUACCUUGUCAAGUGUCAUUCAUCAACACCUUUUGGUUUCCACGGAUAUUUGGAGACAACACAGGGCAAUAUAGGUUACUAAUAAUGGUUACCAAGGUUUACAUUGUGUAAGACAUUCUCCUUUCUCCUCCAUCUUGUCUUACUCUGAUGACUUUGAACAUACAGUAAUACAUUCUAUUUUCGUCGGCUUAUAUGCUUUUCUCCUUAAUAAUGUCAAAAUGAAUUCUAACUUAUGAGUCAAUACAGUCCAACUCAAUUACAGAUUAAACAGAGGAUUAAAAAUGUAGGCUCAUUUUUUGAUUGAUUUUGCUCGGCUCAUUUAAUACUUGUGUCGAUUGAGGUGAACCAACAUGUGUUAACUCAUUUUUUUUAUUUUUAAAUUUAAAUGUAUCUUAUGAGUUCAAAUUUUCAUUUUAUUUUUUAAUUCUCUAUAAGUUUGUUGUUAUGAAUUAGUGUAUUGUUGGACUUAUUAUAUUUAUGGUUUUUUUCAUUUUUCUGUAUUUUUUUUUAAAUCAGGUGAAUUUGUUUGUGAGCCAACUUAUUUAAUUCAACAAACUGUGAUGGGUUGAGCUAGAUUAUGUAUUUUUUUGCAUACCAAAAAAGUAAUUCAAGUUAAAUUCAUGGUGAACCAACCCAAGUGAGUCAAGUUGAUUGAAACCUCUAAUAAAUUCACUUCACUAUUGUAGAAUUUGUCAAUUUAUAAAUCCAUAUAUUCCAUUUAUUUUAUUCAUAUGUAAUUAAUUUUGAGUCAUUAUAUUAUUGAUGUGAAAUAUCUUGAUUUUAUUUAUGAUUAAUUUUUUUUUAAAAAAAUCUAACUAAUAAUCUUUGGUAAGAUCUUUUUCUUUAAUUACAUUUUUUUAUCUAUAAUUAAGUUUGAUUCCCCCGCAUAUCCUGCACUAAAAAUAUUUAUUUUUGGACUGUAUAUCAUAUCACAUAAAAUAUAAAAUAAAAAAUAAAAAGAUAUAGAAGCCAAGGGAAAGAGUUUUGACUUUAAUUUUUGGGGACAAGAGGGUUUCCCAAGGGCAAUUAAUAGGUGAAUUUCAGCCUACAAUAUUAUUUUCAAAAACGACUAGUAGAGAGUUUCUAAGCAAGCUCUAUCAGUUAAUUCUGACAAACUUUUAUAUUGAUCAGUAUCAUAAGACCAAUAAUAUAUAAUAGUAUAUCAUAUCCUGUUCAAGAAGUUAUAGCUAGCGUCUACUAUUUCUCUAUGGUUAAAAUCUGAUUGGAAUUUGCAUAUCGCAUAUAUGUUUAGUUAUUAUUCUACGUAUGGACACAUUGAGAAGCUAGCUAGAGAGAUAGAAAAAGGUGCUGCUUCCGUGGAGGGAGUAGAAGCAAAACUGUGGCAGGUACCUGAAACACUGUCUGAAGAAGUCCUUGUGAAGAAGGGAGCACCUCCAAAGAGUGAUGAUGUUCCUAUUAUUAAACCCCGUGAGCUUGCCGAUGCCGAUGGCUUUCUGUUCGGUUUUCCAACAACAUUUGGAACCAUGGCUUCUCAAUUCAAAGCAUUUUUAGAAGGCACUAUAGGGCUGUGGCAUACACAGGCACUAGCAGGAAAACCUGCAGGGUUCUUCUCUAGCACUAGUUCUCAAGGAGGUGGACAAGAAGAGACCCCGUUGACCUCUGUCACUCAGCUUGUUCACCAUGGAAUGAUUUUUGUUCCGGUUGGGUACACAUUUGGAGAUGGCAUGUAUGAGAUGGAGAAGGUCAAAGGUGGGUCCCCUUAUGGCUCAGGAACUGUUGUCGGGGAUGGCUCAAGGCAACCUAGUGACUUGGAAUUGGC
rnacentral:lncRNA from 1 species